rnacentral:rRNA from 1 species
UCCGUAGGUGGAUAAUUAAGUCAGAGGUGAAAUCCCACAGCUCAACUGUGGAACUGCCUUUGAUACUGGUUAUCUUGAGUUUUAGUGAAGUAGAUAGAAUAUGUAGUGUAGCGGUGAAAUGCUUAGAUAUUACAUAGAAUACCGAUUGCGAAGGCAGUCUACUAACUAAUAACUGACGCUAAUGGACGAAAGCGUGGGGAGCGAACAGGAUUAGAUACCCUGGUAGUC